UCAAGCUAAUAAGAGCACAGGGUGGAUGCCCAGGCACCAAACGCCGACGAAAGACGUGGCAAGCUGCGAAAAGUCACGGGGAACCGCAAGCAGGUAUUGAUCCGUGAACGUCUGAAUGGGGAAACCCGGCGGGUUAACAGCCCGUCACUAUUAACUGAAUCAAUAGGUUAAUAGGGGGAACGCGGGGAACUGAAACAUCUCAGUACCCGUAGGAAGAGAAAAUAAAGAAUGAUUUCCUAAGUAGCGGCGAGCGAACGGGAAAGAGGCCAAACCGAAGGGCUUGCUCUUCGGGGUUGUGGAUCAGCAAAAAGGACGGAAGACCUUAGCAGAAGAGGAUUGGAAAGUCCCGCCAGAGAGGGUAAAAGCCCCUUACGCGAAAAGGUCAAACGACGAGCUGACACCAGAGUACCGCAGGACACGAGAAAUCCGGUGGGAAGCCGGGAGGACCACCUCCCAAGCCUAAAUACGAAUUGGUGACCGAUAGCGCAUAGUACCGUGAGGGAAAGGUGAAAAGAACCCCGGGAGGGGAGUGAAAAAGAACCUGAAACCCUGUGUUUACAAGCAGUGAAAGUGCAAGUUAGGCACGAUCACGUACUUUUUGUAGAACGGACCGGCGAGUUACGUUAUGCAGCAAGGUUAAGAACUGAAGGUUCGGAGCCGAAGCGAAAGCGAGUCUGAACAGGGCGAUAGUUGCAUGACGUAGACCCGAAACCGGGUGACCUAUCCAUGAGCAGGUUGAAGUGGAGGUAAAGCUCCAUGGAGGACCGAACCAGACGUCUGUUGAAAAAGGCGGGGAUGACUUGUGGAUAGGGGAGAAAUUCCAAUCGAACCCGGAGAUAGCUGGUUCUCCUCGAAAUAGCUUUAGGGCUAGCCUCAUGGAUCAUUGGUGGGGGUAGAGCACUGAAUGUGCGCGGGGGCCACAAAGCCUACCAAACGCUAUCAAACUACGAAUACCAUACAAUGCAGACCAUGGGAGUCAGUCCGCGAGAGAUAAGUUCCGCGGGCAAAAGGGGAACACCCCAGAUCAACCGCUAAGGUCCCCAAGUUCACGUUAAGUGGAGAAGGAUGUGGAAUUGCACAGACAACCAGGAUGUUGGCUCAGAAGCAGCCACACAUUUAAAGAGUGCGUAAUAGCUCACUGGUCGAGUGAUUGUGCGCCGAAGAUGUCCGGGGCUAAACGUGACACCGAAGCGAUGGGUGCAUCUGAAAGGAUGCGCGGUAGAGGAGCAAUGUGCAGAGGCAGAAGCCGUAUCGAGAGGCACGGUGGACACUGCACAAGAGAGAAUGCCGGUAUGAGUAGCGAGAGGCAUGCGAGAAACAUGCCCGUCGAAAGCCCAAGGUUUCCUGGGGAAGGUUCAUCCGCCCAGGGUAAGUCGGGGCCUAAGCCGAGGACGGAAGUCGUAGGCGAUGGACAGCAGGUGUAGAUUCCUGCACUACCGAUGGAAUGAAGCAGUGACACAGAAGGAUAACUCGAGCAGGGUGAUGGUCAACCCUGUGCAAGCAUCAAGGUUGGGUUGUAGUGAAGUACGCAACCCUACAAGCUGAGGUGUGAUGCGGACCGAAAUUUUAGUAGGGAAGCGAGUGAGUUCACGCUGGCGAGAAAAGCUGCUAGUACAUCCAAAGGUACCCGUACCGGAAACCGACGCAGGUGGGCGAGGAGAGAAUCCUGAGACGAACGGGAGAACCCUUGUUAAGGAACUCGGCAAAAUGACCCCGUAACUUCGGGAUAAGGGGUGCCUGCGAGAGCAGGCCGCAGAGAAUAGUCACAAGCGACUGUUUAGCAAAAACACAGGUAUCUGCGAAAGCGAGAGCUGACGUAUAGGUGCUGACACCUGCCCGGUGCUGGAAGGUUAAGGGAACAUGUUAGAGCAAUCGAAGCAUCGAACCGAAGCCCCAGUAAACGGCGGCCGUAACUAUAACGGUCCUAAGGUAGCGAAAUUCCUUGUCGGGUAAGUUCCGACCCG
rnacentral:rRNA from 1 species